GUCCUAGCCGUAACGAUGAGCACUGGGUUGGAGGCCCUUCAUAGGCUUCCGGCCGAAGCGAAAGUGUUAAGUGCUCCGCCUGGGAGUAUGGUCGCAAGGCUGAAACUCAAAGGAAUUGACGGGGCUCACACAAGCGGUGGAGGAUGUGGCUUAAUUCGAGGCUACGCGAAGAACCUUAUCCUAGUCUUGACAUGCUUGGAUUAACCCCAUGAAAGUGGGCCACACCUUCGGGUGGAACAAGCACAGGUGCUGCAUGGCUGUCGU
rnacentral:rRNA from 1 species